rnacentral:rRNA from 1 species
CCUACGGGCGGCAGCAGUGGGGAAUAUUGGGCAAUGGGCGCAAGUCUGACCCAGCAACGCCGCGUGAAUGAUGAAGGUUUUCGGGUUGUAAAGUUCUUUUCUGAGGGAUGAAGAAAGUGACGGUACCUGACGAAUAAGCCACGGCUAACUACGUGCCAGCAGCCGCGGUAAUACGUAGGUGGCAAGCGUUAUCCGGAUUUACUGGGUGUAAAGGGUGCGUAGGCGGUAAAGUAAGUUAGAUGUGAAAACCAUGGGCUCAACCUCGGCCCUGCAGUUGAAACUGUUAGUCUUGAGUACAGGAGAGGCAGGUGGAAUGCCUAGUGUAGCGGUGAAAUGCGUAGAUAUUAGGAGGAACACCAGUGGCGAAGGCGGCUUACUGGACAGCAACUGACGCUGAGGCACGAAAGCGUGGGGAGCAAACAGGAUUAGAUACCCGGGUAGUC